rnacentral:sRNA from 1 species
UCAUCGUUGCUUUGCACAGUGAUCUGAAAAAAAAAACAUUUGCAAUGUAAAUUUCACUCUUUUUUUAUCUUAUUUUGUUACUCACUGGUAUCUUUCCUGGUACAGACGAUGAAAAUGGAGCAAACAUAAGAGUGCAAUUGGUGUAAAGUGUAAACAGCAAUGUUAAUUACUAGGAGUGAUAUUAGCAGAGGUAAAAUUUGCCAGUAAUUUGGUACUGAAAAUGUACUCUCCAAAGUCAAAACUUGUAAUCUCCACACAAAAACUUUCUGCAUUACACUUGGUUGUUUCACCUGCUUGUGUGAUGGUGUAAUAGAUUAUUAGUAGUUAAUGAUAGUGAUAAUGCAGAUUUCUCAGUU